AGCUAAUACCGCGUAAUGUCUUAGGACUAAAGGGUGGGACCAUUUGGCCACCUGCCAUAAGAUGAGCCCAAGUGGGAUUAGGUAGUUGGUGAGGUAAAGGCUCACCAAGCCCGCGAUCUCUAGCUGGUCUGAGAGGAUGACCAGCCACACUGGAACUGAGACACGGUCCAGACUCCUACGGGAGGCAGCAGUGGGGAAUAUUGCACAAUGGGGGGAACCCUGAUGCAGCCAUGCCGCGUGAAUGAAGAAGGCCUUCGGGUUGUAAAGUUCUUUCGGUGACGAGGAAGGCGAUUGUUUUAAUAGAACAGUCGAUUGACGUUAAUCACAGAAGAAGCACCGGCUAACUCCGUGCCAGCAGCCGCGGUAAUACGGGGGGUGCGAGCGUUAAUCGGAAUAACUGGGCGUAAAGGGCACGCAGGCGGUUGUUUAAGUGAGGUGUGAAAGCCCCGGGCUUAACCUGGGAAUUGCAUUUCAGACUGGACAACUAGAGUACUUUAGGGAGGGGUAGAAUUCCACGUGUAGCGGUGAAAUGCGUAGAGAUGUGGAGGAAUACCGAAGGCGAAGGCAGCCCCUUGGGAAUGUACUGACGCUCAUGUGCGAAAGCGUGGGGAGCAAACAGGAUUAGAUACCCUGGUAGUCCACGCCGUAAACGCUGUCGAUUUGGGGAUUGGGGUUUAACUCUGGUGCCCGUAGCUAACGUGAUAAAUCGACCGCCUGGGGAGUACGGCCGCAAGGUUAAAACUCAAAUGAAUUGACGGGGGCCCGCACAAGCGGUGGAGCAUGUGGUUUA
rnacentral:rRNA from 1 species